GUAUAAUAAGCUCACCCAUAAAAUCCUGCGUGACUGCUUGCAGGCAAAGCAGGAUUUCUAUGAGGGGAGCAAACAGACAUGAGCAAGAAGGACGAUAGCCCGGAUUGCGAAUGUCUGUGACGAUUUCGAGAGUGCGUAGCACGAAAAAAUCGUGUUAUUAU
rfam:Human gut metagenome DNA, contig sequence: In-R_021957.